CCAGCAGAUUUUGCACUUUGCUGCUGCAACAGUGGGACACCUUUCCCCAGACCAGCUUCAUCUGCAAUUUAAAAGAGGUCUUUUCAAAGAAAUAGAGGAUUUUAGUUAAAAGCUCAAGAAUUAGUUCAGUGGCUCUGAGCCACGGUCCAUCCAAUAUUCUGUCUAUGGAAGGAGCAUAAAGGGGUACGUCAUGUGAAACUCAAAAGAUUAGGGAUAUACCCUGAGACUCAUUGAUAUUUUCC
rnacentral:lncRNA from 1 species